ACCAUAGUCCUGUCUAGCUGAUGAAAGCUCUGGAUUUGGGAAGAAUCCUUGUCAGAUGAGUGGACACUGCUCUCUGGCACAUGGUUGUACAGAAGUUGGGGGGCAAGGGGAAGCAGAGCAGAAGCUGGCACGGGGAUAUCUCUAAUUUUCCCCAACAGGCAAGAAAAAAGUCUCCAGAACCCAGCUCUGUGUUCCAAGCGAGAGCCUCUGUCUUGGCAACAAAUGAGCCCAAAUAUCAAACACACCAGUGCCUUCUUGGAGAAAAUGAGCAUAGAACAGAAUGGAGUCAAUGGCUUUGUGACAACUUCCAGCCCCGAUGUCCUGUGAGAUCACUGGGUGACAGCAGUGACCCUGCUGGAGCUUCCCUGGAAGGACCUGGGAGCCGACGUGG